GCCUUAAGAAGGAAUGCUUCGUUCCCUCUCCAACCGAUGUUUGCAUUCAGAUCACAGAUAGAUAUUAUCGUUGCCACUGGAUUGAUAGCCUUUGCAUCUGCUGGCUUAGCCUUUCCCUUGUACAUGGCGAAAGGUUUAUCAUCCAGUUCUUCCAGAAAGUCAGUAUAGAUCCAGCAAAGCCACCUCCACCACAGGCCAGACACUGGUUCCCGAGACAUCGGACCCGACCAUCGAACUUGCACAAAGAAGUGGUUUUUGUUAUUCCAGACCAUUCCUAAAGUACAUAGACAUACUUCUCGAGUUAACAAUUACUAAUU